GUCAUAUGUGUGUGUAUGUGUGUGUCCAUGCAUGAGUGGUGCGUCGGCGGAGCUAUGAAUGGGCAGAAAGGGGUGUGCUCUCUCAGACACCAUAGCAGCAGUGAGAUGAGGAGUGCCAUCUACUCCACUGCACGUCUGUACUAAGAGAAGCAAGAAGGGAGAAAAGGAGUUGCACAACCACAGUAUUCCAAGCGAUACCAUCUCAUCGUAAACCUACAUCAGCACUGAACUCCUCCUGAGAAUAUUCAAGUCAGACAUGGAACAGAAGGGGAAUGAGUGUCCCACCACCACCUCUCCUCAGAAGCACAUGAAGAACAGGUCCAAAUCCACAGAUGAAAUGCAACAGACAAAGAAGGCCUUUUCCUCACAAAAAUCCCUCCCGGGCAGACCGGAGCUGGAGAAAGUGAAGGAGUUGGCUGACGGCUCCGACACGCCGUCGUCAUCCACAGAAGAACUGAAGUGAUAUUCAUAAAGGUCAUCUUAAAGAUCAUCAUAAACAAACAUGAAAAUGUACAUAUGUACACACUGAAACAUAAUAAAUAAUAUUAAAGAUAAUAGUGAACUAGAUUAUAGAACACACAAGCAUUGGAUUAUGAUUGGUUGAAGGAAACUGUAUAAAAAAUGGUAAAUUGAACGCACACACACACACACACACACACACACUCACGC